rnacentral:rRNA from 1 species
AGUGAACGCUGGCGGCAUGCCUAACACAUGCAAGUCGAACGGCAGCACAGUAAGAGUUUGCUCUUACGGGUGGCGAGUGGCGGGCGGGUGAGGAAUACAUCGGAAUCUACUUUUUCGUGGGGGAUAACGUAGGGAAAGUUACGAUAAUACAGCAUAUGACCUACGGGUGAAAGCAGGGGAUCUUCGCACCUUGCGCGAUUGAAUUAGCCGAUGCCGGAUUAGCUAGUUGGGGGGGUAAAGGCCCACCAAGGCGACGAUCCGUAGCUGGUCUGAGAGGAUGAGAGGCCACCCGGGAACGGAGCCACGGUCCAGACCCCUACGGGAGGCAGCAGUGGGGAAUAUGGGGCAAUGGGCGCAAGCCUGACCCAGCAAUCCCGCGUGGGUGAAGAAGGCCUUCGGUUUGUAAAGCCCUUUUGUUGGGGAAGAACAGCUGUGGGUUAAUACCCGGCUGUUCUGACGGUACCCAAUGAAAAAGCGCCGGCUAACUUCGUG